UUCUUCAGUGAAUGAUCUUAAAAAGAAAGUUGGCCAAAGUAAAUUGUAUAUUAUUCCUCAUUCCUACAUAUCUCCUCCUAGCCAGGUAAAUUCAAAUUGUUUUCUUUGUUCAUUUCAUGCUAAUGCAUGAAUCAAUAUUUAAUAAACAUUCUUGUAUUUCAAAACAGGAUCCCCACUGACUCAGAUCACUUUGUCUCCAACUGCAGUAGAGGUUCCAUGCAGUCCUCAUCACUAGACCAGCAAUACUCUCACUUCACAGCUGACCCACCGGCAGAAAACAGAUUUAAUGCCCAGACUUUUGCAACUUUAAUUUGUCCCAUUUCUCCAUCUUUAUCACAUGUAUCACAACCUCAGUCACAAUCUUACAGUGUACCCACAGAUUCUGCCACCCCUGUAGCCCACCAUCCAGUCCAAUCCACCACACUACAAGGACACCAUUAUUCACCACUUGCUCAUCCAGUUGCUCAGUCCUUAUUACCUGCAAUCCAACCUCAGCCACAGUCUUCUAGUGCACCUGUAGAUUCUGCUAUCCAUGCAAACCUUCAUCCAGUACAAUCCACCAUACCUUAUAAUCAGCCUUCUCCAGCAUCAUUUCAUUCUUUGACACAAUCCUCUUUCUCUUCUUUCCAACCACCUAUACAAUCAUUUUCACAUACAGAGCCUUACCAGGAAAUUCAUCAUCAUUCAGUGUUCAUUAGACCCCAAACAUCAUCUUCUGGAUUAUCAGUCCAUCUUCCAUGUUUCUCAGAAAAUGCAGAUGAUACUGAUUCUGUGAUCCCAAUUCAGGCCUCAGCCCCUGAACUACCAGGGUCACAUUUAGAGGUAAGCAAGUGAAGGACUGAAAAAAUAUCUGAAACUCUGUCAAAAAUAUGAGUAUCAUUGAUUAUAGCUUUUGUAUUGUUUUAAUGUCAAAGUCUGGGUAUUUAUAUUUUUCUGAAUGCAAAAUAUUUAACUUAACAAGUUAUACAGAACAGUGUCUUUUGCAAUAGGAUGAUGUUGCUGCUUCUGAGGAGGUGCAAGCGGGAUCUCCAGUUGUAAGUGUUUGUAUUUACUACAUUAAAUGCAGUAUCUGUUAAAUUGCAGCCGGUGAUUUAAGUUGUUAUGGUCUUGUAAUAAACCAGUGCUGCCUUUGUUUGGAGGUUACUUACAGCGGGGAUAGACAAUCACAUCAUUCUGUGAACAGUGUGAACAUCUCCAGCAGUAGGUAUGUAUUAGAUAUUUAUGUAAUAUUGAAUGAGUUAAAAUGUCAAACAUGAAAUUAUGAACUUCCCCUUUGAAACUAGAGGGUUUGGAGACGACACAGAUCACUUGAAUGAUUUGUAACUUUACGAGAUUGUGGUCCCACUUGAUUUAGACCACUCCUGUCUACUCCCCAUUUGUACAUCUUCAUGACUUUGGAAGAGUCACCAAAUCUCAGCAUUUAACUCCAACCAAAAAUUAAGAUAAAGAUGGUAUGCAUGCCUAGCAACAGUAAAAAUGUGAAUAGGGGGCUUUUAUGCUAUGCAGAGGAUAUAAAUGGAGUGACAUUGUAUGUGGUAGUUUGACAAAUAGUUUUAUGAAUACAUUUUAUACUACAGUUUUUAAAAAAUAUACUGAGUUUCUUUCUUAUUGCUGCUUAGGGAAGACUUCUUAAUUGAUGACUCAGACUCUGAGGAUGACAUAGUCAUGUUGGGCUCCCCUGUUAGAACCUAUGUUGACAUGAAGGUGGAUGUGGCCAGUAUAUUAAGAACCUUCCAGAUGGAAAACCUCAAUGAGGACAGCAAAUUCACAGUAGUUGCACGAUGGAAGAAAAUACUGCAUAGUGCCUGUGCAGCCUUGGCAAAAAGUUACUUUGCAUGGCAUAAAACACCAGUCAUUGAAUUUGUUGGUGAAACAGCUGAUGAUUAUGGCGGACCUCGAAGAGAGUUGUUCAGUUCUUUGAACUUCCCCUUCUUUAUGAUGGAUUGUUAAUGAUAGAAGUCCAGACAUUGCUUGGAGUUUUUGAAAGUUUGGGAGGACAUCUUUUUUUCACAUAUGACCAGGCAGCUUUGGACACCAGCAAAUUCUAUACAGCUGGCAAGCUUAUAGCUUAGUCUAUAAUCCAUGGUGGGCCAGGAAUUAAAGCCUUGGAUCCUCAUUUGUUCCAGCUGAUGUGUGGCCAGACAGUAAAACUGGAAAAGUUUAACAGCCAUCAUUUUCUAGAUGUUGAUAUUCAUGAAAAGAUUUGUCAGAUUUCACAGUGCACAACUCCUGCAGAUGUUGUUACUCUACGAGCACAACUAGGAGAUUGGAUUGUAGACUGUAGAGUCCCAGGUAUUUUUACUGCUGGACUUGCAGAUA